GGCGGGGGCUGCGGGACGCAGCGGUGCUCGCCCGCAGGCGGCCCGAGGGAUGCUCCGCGCCUCGGCGGGGACAGUGCCCGCUACGAACGUGGGGCCGCGCCGCUGUGUAGCCACAGGUGCGUGUCAGCGGGCACAAACCCGCUGAGCGAAGACACAAACCGCUGCCCUAACUAUUGUAUCAGCUCGUCUCAAUAAAAUGGAAGUGUGCUGACUUGUUAAGCCUGGAGCAGAGCCAGAGCAGGCUGCUGCUGGGAGAGCAGGCCAGAGAGGAGUGCUGGUAGAAGGGGAGCGUGCCAGCAGCCAAGCAACCUGACCUGCUGGCAGCAAAAUGGAGGAGCUGCACCUAGGAAGAUAAGGGAGGGAGCAAUGAUCUGUCUGGAGAAGUGGGAUUUCAGUGCAGCUCUAAACACAGAUGCUCUGGCAGCUUUCAGCCAACAUGGGACAGCCUCAGAUGUUUGCCACAGGGAAGCCAGUUGGCUCUGGAAGUGGAUCCGUCCGACAACCACACACUUUUCCUAUUUCCACUCCACUAUGGUGGCUCAUGAAUGGAUCAGACAAGUCGUGGUGCUCAUGUGAGGAAUGAACACAUUCAUGAGGGCAAAGGGAGAGUGCAACUGCACUCCCUGAUCACUGACAUCAACUUAAGAGACAUGUACCUGGCUCCAUUUGUGAGCAUCAUCUGGAGUUCAUCAGCAGAAGCUCAAAAUCCUGGAAGUAUUUCUUUAUGCGCCAAGUGACAGACCUCUGUGGAGCCUGCACACAGCUCUGCCAGCAACAGAGAAGUAAAUUGGCUGUAUUGGUCUAUUACCCACUUACUGCUGCUGAGAAAUAUGUGUCUGAGCAGCUGUCAAGGCAAAGCUGUGUGAAUCAUUAAAACGGCUUCUCAGCUCACCACUGGCUCUUUUCCAAGCAGUUUGCCCUCAAUGUCAUGUGGAGCAGCAUCAAUGAUGCAGAGACAUCGGUAUUGAUCCAAAGUGGAAUAACCUCCUCAGCCAAGAGUUUGUAUGUAGGUUAGGUGCUACCACAGGGCUCAUCCUUCCAGCAUGUGCCUCCUUGCAGCGUGUCUGCCUCCCUCCUCAGCUCUGGAUGUGGGAAGCAAAGGCCAGUCAGAUGCCUCAAAGUUGCGCUGGGAUGGACAGAGUGGGUUUGUGACAAUGCAGGCACCUCUACCGGCAUUGCUUCCAGCGAGGAACACUCAGCAGGGCUAAUGCUUGUGGCUGUGCCCUAGUUCUUGGCUUGUUCACGGGCUCCUUGUUAGGAGGAGAUCCCUUUGCCAGAAUGUAUUGAAUUUCCUCAGGAACAAGGUCAUUUCUCUGUACUCUAUCAGAGAUAAAGGACAUGUUUCUGAAAGCAUCAAGGCUUUUUUGCAGGGCUCGCUUUGUGCCUCCUACUCUCCUGUCAGCAAGGCUGGAGGACAAGCCACCAGCUACAGAGGAAAGCCUGCUCUGCUAUCUCCCCAUUGUCCAGUCAGCACAGAGUGGGGAGGAGUGUCUCACAGGACACUUGCCUCUCCUGAAAGGCAAAAGUGAAGCUGUGGCUUCUCCUGAACUGCAGGUGGGUCAAUGCCAGGAGCCUGGCAAGCAAAGGAGCCUCCUAGCUGGAGCCCAGGACACCAAGACCUGCAGGGAGACACCCCAAAACUGGGACAUGCAGAGCAGCAGCUAGAAUAGUCAAAUUUUCCCCUUAACUUUUCACUUCUCCCUCAGGCUAACAUGAAGCCAAGAUGAUGAUCACUGAUCUAUAGUGGCAGGAGCCUUUAGGAAUCCAGGGUUUUUUACUCAAUCUUUGUGCUGAAGUGCUCAGCCUUACACUGCAAAGACAAACAGCAACAAGAUUGCUCUCAGCAACCCAGACAAGAACAUUUUAGUGCAUAAUUAUGGAUGAGAUGCAAAAGGACGAAAAAGAGGGAAAACAGCUGUUCGCAUAGUUUAUUGCCGUUCACUUAAGAGGCCCAUUAAAUGCCAGAAAAAGCUAUUUAUCCUUCUGUUUGAGGCAAUUAUCCUGCUGCAAAUCUCUGUGUCAAUUCGUCCUGUGAUUAUUCCUGGAGUGCUGACACUAUGCAGAUACACUCACCAUACAGAAAAAAAGGUGCCCACCCAGGAUUACGGAGGGAUUUUCAGAAGCAGGAUAGCCAGAGCUUCUCAGGAGCUUUACCUCUGUAGAGAAGUGGGUUGUUUCUUGGAGUCUUUCCCUGGAGUUCAGCUGCCUCCUCUUCUUUAUUUCAAAAAUACCCUUUGAGCCUUUUUUAUUGGAAGCACACAUUAAAGUGGAAUUGCUCUUCUUGUAGUCACAGCAACAUGGGAUGUGAGAAGCCUAAAUCCAGUUCUUCAAAUGCUCAAAGGAAACCAGCUGUCCCACUGACCAAGGAAUCAUUUGACUCACCAGGCUGCAAGGUCUGUGCAGAGGUGUCCUAGGGUGACUGUUAUCCCCAUUUGUGUGUGUGUAAUUUAUGCUGGAUAUUAUGUUCUGUGCCUUUAAGACUGGCAGAGUGAAAGUUUUGUUUUGGGCCUCUUAUCAGCCACUCGGCGGGACACACAGAUAGCACCAGUACAUAUUGAUGCUUUUUUGCUUUUUGCCCUGCUUUUUGCCUUUGCUCUUGCUUCUGCUUCGCUUCUGUUUUGCUUGCUCUUGCUUUUUUUUCCCCCUACUCAUUAGUUAAUUUAGCUAAACAGUCCAAAUUCCUCUGUUCCACCCCCGCCCCCCCCCCCCCCCCAUUUGGACCUGCCGACUGCUCCGGACUGGGAUUUGGAACACCAAGAGAGAGUUUACACCUUGUGACUGCAGCAGCUGCCUCAGCGCUGGAGGGACUGAUAACAGCGACCACCCCAGGAGAGACUUUCUGAAUUUGUCAUCUUUUUCAGAGCGGUGAAAGAGUGGUGUCAUCCAGUAUUGUUCAUUUUGUGUGCUGGGGGGUGCUGUGCUUGUCAAAUAAACAGGUCCUUUCCACUUC